rnacentral:tRNA from 1 species
GCCGAUGUAGCUCAGUUGGCAGAGCAGCGCAUUCGUAAUGCCCGGGUCGCGGGUUCGAUUCCCACCAUCGGCU